rnacentral:lncRNA from 1 species
UCAUCAAAGUUUUUUCUUUUUUUCAAGGAAAAACUUCAGAAACCCCCCUUGGUUUCAAUUUUUUUCACUUUAGUACCAUGUGGUUUAAAAUGUAUCAAGUUAGUACCCUGUGGUUUCUCACUUUAUCAUUUUAGUACUCUGUAGUUUAAAGUGUAUCAACUUAGUACCCUGUGGUUUUGCACUUUAUUAUUUUAGUACCCUGUUAUUUUAAUUUUGUAUCAAGUUAGUAUCAUGUUAUUUUUUAAACUAUAGGGUACUAAAGUGAUAAAGUGUGAAACCACAGGAUACUAAAGUGAUAAAAUGCAAAACCACAGGAUACUAACUUGAUACACUUGAAACCACAUGGUACUAAAGUGAUAAAAUAAGAAACCACAGGGUACUACCUUGAUACACUUUAAACCAUAGAGUAUUAAAAUAAAAAAAUGUGAAACCACGUUGGGGGUU